GUAGGUGGCAAGCGUUGUCCGGAAUUAUUGGGCGUAAAGCGCGCGCAGGCGGUCCUUUAAGUCUGAUGUGAAAGCCCACGGCUCAACCGUGGAGGGUCAUUGGAAACUGGGGGACUUGAGUACAGAAGAGGAAAGCGGAAUUCCAAGUGUAGCGGUGAAAUGCGUAGAGAUUUGGAGGAACACCAGUGGCGAAGGCGGCUUUCUGGUCUGUAACUGACGCUGAGGCGCGAAAGCGUGGGGAGCAAACAGGAUUAGAUACCCUGGUAGUCCACGCCGUAAACGAUGAGUGCUAAGUGUUAGGGGGUUUCCCGCCCCCCUUAGUGCUGCAGCUAACGCAUUAAGCACUCCGCCCUGGGGGAGUACGGCCCGCAAGGCUG
rnacentral:rRNA from 1 species